AAACUAUAGUUUGCUGCUCUGGGUUCCUGCUGUCUCUCCAAGUGUUGUGUGCCCUUCGGCUAAGGUCUGGGAUUCAGUCUCUGCUCCACCUUUUGGAACUUUUACCUGUAGGUAGCAGGGAUGGGCCUUUCACGAGAUACUUAACCAGCCAGCUAGGAGCUGAGGCUGAAAGCCGCGUUGAGGAGUGCAGAUGUCUGCACCACGCCUCCUCCUCCUCUGUAGGAACCUCCUCUAAUUCUUCAUCUAACUGAGUUUGUCACACGCUAUGCAAGACAGGGACAAACCUGGGAUGAACGGCUGACCCCAAUGCAAUCUGGUUGAUUUAACACCAUGGGCACAAAGGGACAACUCCAGAGAAGCCUGAGAAGAUUGAAAGGUGCCAGAACUGGAAACCAGAUCUGCCCUCUGGGAAAGGCUGGCCCUGGAAGGACAGGAACAGGUGUGCUGUUCAGAGCAGAAAUAUGGAUGUAUAUGACCAGAAGACAUGCCUAAGAAGACCCACAACAGUAUCAUUUGUAACAUCUUGACCCAGGGCCAAGCCAGACAUCCAGCAGAAGAAUGGACACAUGUGCUUGGAAUGCCACACGUGGGAAUCCUGCUCAGCAAUGAACCAACACUCCAUUGCUCUGCGCUGUAAUUAGACUUUCACAAGCAUCCUGGUGAGCAACAGGCAUCAGAUAUGGAAGGAUGCACAUGACACAAUUGUACACAUAUGAGAAAGUCAAUGACUGCUAGUGCCUCUUAAAGAACUAACCUGUGCAGCAGGGAUAGGAAGUUAAUGGGCAGGGUGAGGGUUUUCUGGGCUCCUGUGAUGGUCUCUUUCUGGAUGUGGGUGAUAAAAUGUGUUCACAUUGUUAAAAAAAAAAAACUUCAAGCUGUACAUUCUACUUUUCAAUAUACAAGGUAUAUACUAAUAGAG